AAUUUUAACACUUCAAUGCAUUCAUGAUUUUUCUAUAUCCAUGACUAGUUUUUGAUUUAUACCUUGUGUAUUUAUUAAUUAAGCAACAGGAGGUAUAAUGAUUGAAAUUUAGGGCCAUCAUGGUAACCAUAUUUUUUAUGGCCACCAUUAAUAACAUAAUGUCACAGGUAGUACUGUACUACAAACAAGAGGGCCAUGGUAUUUAGUGUAUGGAUUGAUUGUCAAUAUGCCAGGUUUCGUCUGACCCCGACCUCAUUUUUAUGGUUCAUUGGACAAGUUUUUGUGGUUUAGUUUAUUUCACAGACAUUGUAAGCAAUAGGCCUAUUAUAUAAAUGUAUUGAAUAAUUGUUAGUUGUACAUGUCUGUUUGGAAAAGUCAAUAUGACCUUUACCUUAUUUUCAUGGUUCAUCUCCCCA
rnacentral:lncRNA from 1 species